UGGACGAGUCUGAUGGAGCACGCCGCGUGAGUGAAGAAGGUUUUAGGAUCGUAAAACUCUGUUGUUGGAGAAGAACAGGGACUAGAGUAACUGUUAGUCCUUUGACGGUAUCCAACCAGAAAGCCACGGCUAACUACGUGCCAGCA
rnacentral:rRNA from 1 species